GAUUUCUGACUUGAAACAUUCAGCCGGCCACGGUUUCGUGUGUUAGUGCUGGAUGUUCUGGUCAUCCUUCCAAUCGCUAUUGACUCUUCUUAAUUGAUUGGUCAGUGGUAUUGGAUCUUUUACUUUGAAAAAAUUAGAGUGUUUCAAGCAGGCUUUAUGCUAUGAAUACAUUAGCAUGGAAUAAUAAUUUAGGACUUCGGUUCUAUUUUGUUGGUUUCUAGGACUGAAGUAAUGAUUGAUAGGGAUAGUUGGGGGUGCUAGUAUUCAGCGGCCAGAGGUGAAAUUCUCGGAUUCGCUGAAGACUAACUUAUGCGAAAGCAUU
rnacentral:rRNA from 1 species